GCCUGGGUGGUGGAAUUGGUAGACACGCCAUCUUGAGGGGGUGGUGGCCUUUUGGUCGUGCAAGUUCGAGUCUUGUUCCAGGCAC
rnacentral:tRNA from 1 species